rnacentral:rRNA from 1 species
GGCUACAGCCAUGCCACCCUGAAAGUGCCCGAUCUCAUCUGAUCUCAGAAGCUAAGCAGGAUCGGACUUGGUUAAUACUUGGAUGGGAGACCACCUAGGAACACCAGAUGCUGUAGGCU